AAAUGCAGAGAAAUAAUUAAGUAACAAAAUAUCCCCUAAACUUAAACCGGACAUUGUCACCAAUUUUCCAAUCCAAGUAAGGAGGAGAUAAGAGAAACUCAAAACAUGCCUCAUUGAGGAGGUGGGAAGCGAAAAUAGGUCUUGUAGUGACCUUUGAAUGUCUUCCACCAUAGCACCUUGUCGUGCUUGUUCGACCCCUUGUCUCCUCUGUUCCUCUCCUUGCCUUUAUUGUUCUGCUUACAAAUUUUCCAUUUUGGAGUGCAUCCCUCCCCACUAAUCCUGAUAUUUACUUGAUUGCUCGGUUUCCUGAUAGGUAUGGGGCUUGGGUCUCACCUUUGUCCUUAACACCACCUUCAUGGUUAGUUUCAUAUCUAGGAAAACCAUCCUCCACUGAUUCCUCUUCGGAGGGGUUUCCAACAGUAUACAACCAAUUUUUCUUAGAUCUUAUUCUUAUUUUCAUGCUUGGGAGGUAAAGUCCAUCCCUCAUGUGUACAUUUGGCCAUAUGAUUCACUAUCGUGGUAAAGCAUCCCCAUGUUCAAAAGGGACUCUAAAUCACAACGUGAGCGUCCCAAAAUAGGGAGCUUGAUGUCCUCAGAAAAAACAACAUCCACAUGUUCUGCUAUGCGGGAAAUUAACCCGCUAUCACUAUAACUCUCGUGGUGGAGUUAGCGACACGACUAAGGUGGUUGACCAGAAAAGUAGGAAUAUUAACAUAAUAUCCAUUAAUCAUGGCAUGAAGGAGAUAAAACUCUCUUAGGGAAGCAUUCCAUAUGCUAUCUCAUAUAUCAAAUAGGGUGUGUGCAAGAACAUUGUGAAUCUAUUUAAAAACAGAUUUUAAACGCGAUAGGCAUUGGCACUCUUUGUAAUGUAGGGGGUCUCACCAGCAAUCUCGGCCCAUAAUUGAUUUGAGUUAAAACACUUGAGGACACCGCCUUCUCCAUCAGUAAGGACGUGAAAGAUAUCCUCCAGAGUCUCAAUCAAGAUUUCAUAAUUAGAAUUGUGCAACCGAAAACUCACUGUGCCAGUGGUUUUCAGUUUUAUAGCUUCAUCGGUGGGGUCAUCCGAUACCCUAUAUAUGUUAACUUCUAAAGUACAAAGAAACUCUAGGGUAAGGUUUGCAAACACCGAGAAAUCAGAAUGCACAAGAUAGUGCAUCCCCACAUUAUUCAACAACAUAUUAACAUCAUUUUUCAAGCCUAAGGUUGUAAGCAAUAUUUUAAAAACCGAAUUGAACCGUCUGGUUCAACCGAUUAGACCGGGAAUCGGAAAUGAAUCUGACUGGAUUAACCUUUCAAAAUUGUUAGUGGGUCAAAACCAGAGUAAUCAUUAACCCUUCUAGAAACUCUCUUCCACACUUACACUUACACAUGCAUAUUUGAUGAGCUUUAUUGGUAUUUUAUACAUUUGCUUAUACUACACAUUAUCGUUUGAUUCUUUGGGCUUGUAUUUCUAAUUAGUUUGCUGGCAUACCCAUACUGUUUGCUUGUGUAACUUGAUGCUUAACAUUUUUGAUACCUUGCCACUUGGGAUUUCAAGUUGCCCAUGCUUAUAUGGUUGCUGAAUCAAUACAUCAUCUACCUUGAGCUGCAUUAUUGCAUUACAGGGUUUAUGCUUUAGGUUUGUUACAAUUUUGUGCAUGUAUUUUUGGUUUGUGCAUAUGCUCCAUAGUGCAUGAUCUGCCUAGGUCUACAGGUUAGUCUUCAGGGUUGCAGGCUUGACGUUUGGCAAGGUUUUGUUCUGCAGAUGGUCCAUUUACAGGUUUGGGCAAUGUUUGUAGCAGAUUCAUGAAGCUUGAUGGCAUGUUCAACUUGGUUCCAAGCUUUUGUUGUUUAUGCAGAUUCAUGUUCAUGGUCUGAGUUGGUUUGCUGGAAGUUUUUGCAGGUUGUGUAAUGAUCUUGGUCAAGUGGUGAUGGUGGAAAGACUACAAGCCAAGUCAGAUCAUGGAUUACUAUAACAAGGUUCUCAUGAUGAUGGUUAGGGGUUCAAGUGUUCGUUUGCAGCAGCUUGCUCAUGAAGGGUGGUGGUGUUUUAGGAAUUCAUACAAAUGCAUAUCAUACUGAAACAUGUUGCUGCAUCAUGGUGAUGGACUUACUCUGGUUUUACAACAGGAUGUUGCUGUAACCUUCUACGUUGGUGCAAGCUGGAACAUGGCUUCCCAACUGGACUGGACCACAACAUGAAUACACAUUGGCUUGGUUGCACUCAGGGAUUGGUUUCAGGCCUUUUGAUUUUUUCUUGGUGCAACUGUUGGAUUCACCUGGUUCUGCACAGUAGGAUGACUUGGUGAAGGGUUCAUUGUUAUGGUUUUUCAUUGCAAGUAAGGUGCAGCCACAUGGUCAUGAAAUUAGCAAGUUCUGGUUCAGUUCAAACAUGUUUCAAUUCUGACUUGCUUUAUCAUGCCUUCAUUCAUUAUGGACUGUGAUGGUAUCAUGGUGUUAUGACUUUAUUCAUGUCUUGCUUUUUAUCAUUUAUAGGUCAUGGUUGGAUGGGUGAACAAACCUAGUUAAGCAAUAGCUUGGAGUAUGACAUUAAAAUGGGAUCUUGAAGUCACAUGUACAAAAGCAAACUGAAGAUCAAAAUAGGAUUUGAAACUUAGGAUUAUGAUCAGGGAUUGGGAAUUUAGGUUUUCUGGGAUGGGGUUGACUUUGGUCAAAGUUGACCAAAAAGUCAACCGUUGAUCAAGGUCAACACUUCAAAUUUUAUGUAUAUUUUGUUCUUCUCUCUUUUUUUGGUGUAAUGAACAUUUUAUUCUUUGUAAUGGUAAUUGAUAUUCAUA